CCCAAAGCGGCGGCGGUUGGAACCCGAGGACGAUGGCGCCCCAGGCCCCUUCGAGGACCUGGGGCCCUUCGCGGA
rnacentral:SRP_RNA from 1 species